CUUCCCGUGGUUAGCUGAAGUGUCAUUUCAGAAAUAUUUUUCCUGACGUCAAUUCUAUAAGUUCCAUGUGCUGCUCUUGGACCAUCUCUGAUAUGUGAUCUCUGAGUCUGGCGACUAGUUGGUGAACCUUUACAGCUAAUAACCACUUACAAAUACUCUUGUUGAAGAAACUUGGAUCAUAGAAACAGAAAGGAAAUAUGAAAACUAUUUAUUCUAACUGGAUAUUGAUCCUCCGUCAGAUGCACACAUGGCAGAGUCUCUCCCAUUCUCUGCAUUUCUUCUUCACUUGAUUAUUUUCUUGGCUACAUAGAUUUUUAAAUUUUCUGAGGGCCCCACUGUAAAUUUUUGGCCCUGAUUUUUUGACUAAUGCAAUGCUGCUCAGAAAGUCCUUUCCUAAAUCUAUAUCUGACAAAGUACUGCAUCCAUUUUUC